UCUCCGUUGGUGAACCAGCGGAGGGAUCAUUACCGAGUGCAAACUCAUAACCCUUUGUGGACCUAUAUCUGUUGCUUCGGCGGCUCGCUUUCGGGCGAGCCCGCCGGUAAUAUCAGUAUCUCUGUUUGAACCCGACGAUACUUCUGAGUGUUCUUAGCGAACAGUUAAAACUUUUAACAACGGAUCUCUUGGCUCUA
rnacentral:misc_RNA from 1 species